rnacentral:rRNA from 1 species
AGUAGCUUGCUACUCUGGCGUCGAGCGGCGGACGGGUGAGUAAUGCUUGGGGAACUGCCCAGUCGAGGGGGACAACUAUUGGAAACGAUAGCUAAUACCGCAUACGCCCUACGGGGGAAAGAAGGGGACCUUCGGGCCUUUCGCGAUUGGAUGUACCCAAGUGGGAUUAGCUAGUUGGUGAGGUAAAGGCUCACCAAGGCGACGAUCCCUAGCUGGUUUGAGAGGAUGAUCAGCCACACUGGAACUGAGACACGGUCCAGACUCCUACGGGAGGCAGCAGUGGGGAAUAUUGCACAAUGGGCGCAAGCCUGAUGCAGCCAUGCCGCGUGUAUGAAGAAGGCCUUCGGGUUGUAAAGUACUUUCAGCGAGGAGGAAAGGGUGUUGCUUAAUACGUAACAUCUGUGACGUUACUCGCAGAAGAAGGACCGGCUAACUCCGUGCCAGCAGCCGCGGUAAUACGGAGGGUCCGAGCGUUAAUCGGAAUUACUGGGCGUAAAGCGUACGCAGGCGGUUUGUUAAGCGAGAUGUGAAAGCCCCGGGCUUAACCUGGGAACUGCAUUUCGAACUGAUAAACUAGAGUUUUGUAGAGGGUGGUAGAAUUUCAGGUGUAGCGGUGAAAUGCGUAGAGAUCUGAAGGAAUACCAGUGGCGAAGGCGGCCACCUGGACAAAAACUGACGCUCAUGUACGAAAGCGUGGGGAGCAAACGGGAUUAGAUACCCCGGUAGUCCACGCCGUAAACGAUGUCAACUAGCC